CAGCUACCAGCACUGCCACGACAAUUCGGGCUACUGUAUCUACUCCAGCUAGCACAACUACUCCAACCACCAGAACUACGACGACUACGCUCACAACUAAAGUACACACCCAGGAUUAUUCUCUCUCCUCCGUUGACGAUUAAAUAUUGCAAACGAUUCUGCAAAAGGAUGAGAUACACGGUGAAAUACGCUCAUUCUUGCGGAUAUUUUAAAGGUAUCGGGAAGAAAGAAUUCUGCAUGAUGUGCCGGUACUCGCAGUUCAAACCUUGCAAACAGUAUUCACAUUUUGUAUGAAAGAGAAACAGCUAAUACUAAUUCAACCUGGGAAGAAGAGUCGAAGAAAUUUUACGCCCAACCUUGAGCAAUUAAAAAUUGACACCAGUUUCCGACCACAGGUUAAAGAACAAAUUUCGACAAACGCUCCAGCUACCAACUCUUUACGGUUGUAUUGGAAUCAUAAACAAUGUAAAAUCAAAAAGAAAUAGCCUCCUGACCUAUUCUCCCAUCGGUAAAUGAGGAAGAAACAGCUAAUACUAUUUCAACCUCGGCCAACUCUGAGCCAUUUAAAAAGGACACCGGUUUUAACACACGAACUGUGCGGCCUUCCUUUCGGGUUAUUGUCGGACUAAUAAGCUGGAGGCCCGUGGUUACCAAUAUUUUUUCGGAAAUUUUUUCUUCUGCCUAUUUUGGAAAUCUUUAUUUCUAAUACUCUCUCACUAAGCAUGGAAAUUCUGUUACCUUUAUUUGUGCGAUCUUGAAGGGUCUGAAGCUAGUUUCACACACAACUCGUACCCUGGCUUUAGCACAGUUUAAACAGUUUAUAACAUAACCAAAAUCACGUAUCACAAUAAUACUAAAUAAAUUUGCGAUAAGUCACACAAAAUACAAAGCGAUAUUUCUUCCCAAUCACAUCGAAAUUCCUCCCCGGUUGAGAAACGUUGCUCUGGGCCAGCGAUCAGCAGUCCGUGGCUCCUGAGUCGCAUGCGGCUAAUUGGUUCUCGGAGUUCUGGCUCCCGUAAAUCAAAGCGACAUAGCAGUUUUUUUUGUUAAAAGCAGUAAAGAUUCAAUGAAAAGUGCGGCAUGAAGCCAUAUACUCCUCAGUAAUUACGCAUCACAGCGGUUCCAAAAGUAUGGGUCGAGAACGGUAAAAAUGGGUCGCAAGUCUGUCUAAACACACUUCAUGGAAACAACUAGUUUUACGGGUUUCUAAAGAUUGCCGACCCGUACACCAGGCCAUCGCGCUUUGGGCCCAGCAACAUGGCGGCUCCGACCUCAAACUAGUAAAAUUGAUGUUUUAUUUGCUAAGGUUACUGCAUUUAUUUACCCUUCCUUAUAUUAUUCCUCAGUUCCAUUUUUUUCUUCUUUGAUUUAUAUAUUUUGUAAAUCGACCUCACUUUGUACUUUUCAUUAUAUUCUGUUAUAUUUUAUCUGACUCUUAUAAACUCGCUUAAUUUUUUUUAGCGUUUUUAUUGGAACAGCCCCAUCGACAGUAAUUACAUGGUGACCCCAAAAACAGAACCCAGGUCACCUUAAACUUGACUUUUGUGCAAAGCGUCCCAGAUUGCUGAUACUUUUGGGUGAAAUGAUGCACAAACAGAAAUUCAAUGUUGAAUACAUUAUUUUUCAUUUAAGUAGAAUUGAUUGAGAAAAUUCUUAUUGGAUUCUGGGUCACUCUCUGUUUCUGAUAUGCCUUUA